rnacentral:rRNA from 1 species
CUUAUAGAUGGAUCCGCGCUGCAUUAGCUAGUUGGUAAGGUAACGGCUUACCAAGGCAACGAUGCAUAGCCGACCUGAGAGGGUGAUCGGCCACACUGGAACUGAGACACGGUCCAGACUCCUACGGGAGGCAGCAGUAGGGAAUCUUCCGCAAUGGGCGAAAGCCUGACGGAGCAACGCCGCGUGAGUGAUGAAGGUCUUCGGAUCGUAAAACUCUGUUAUUAGGGAAGAACAUAUGUGUAAGUAACUGUGCACAUCUUGACGGUACCUAAUCAGAAAGCCACGGCUAACUACGUGCCAGCAGCCGCGGUAAUACGUAGGUGGCAAGCGUUAUCCGGAAUUAUUGGGCGUAAAGCGCGCGUAGGCGGUUUUUUAAGUCUGAUGUGAAAGCCCACGGCUCAACCGUGGAGGGUCAUUGGAAACUGGAAAACUUGAGUGCAGAAGAGGAAAGUGGAAUUCCAUGUGUAGCGGUGAAAUGCGCAGAGAUAUGGAGGAACACCAGUGGCGAAGGCGACUUUCUGGUCUGUAACUGACGCUGAUGUGCGAAAGCGUGGGGAUCAAACAGGAUUAGAUACCCUGGUAGUCCACGCCGUAAACGA